rnacentral:rRNA from 1 species
CUACGGGUGGCAGCAGUGAGGAAUAUUGCACAAUGGGGGGAACCCUGAUGCAGCAACGCCGCGUGGAGGAUGACGCAUUUCGGUGUGUAAACUCCUUUUAUAUGUCAAGAAAAUGACGGUACUAUAUGAAUAAGCGCCGGCUAACUCCGUGCCAGCAGCCGCGGUAAUACGGAGGGCGCAAGCGUUACUCGGAAUCACUGGGCGUAAAGGACGCGUAGGCGGGUUGGAAAGUCAGGUGUGAAAUCCUACAGCUUAACUGUAGAACUGCACUUGAAACUUCUAAUCUAGAGUAUGGGAGGGGGAGAUGGAAUUAGUGGUGUAGGGGUAAAAUCCGUAGAUAUCACUAGGAAUACCUAAAGCGAAGGCGAUCUCCUGGAACAUUACUGACGCUAAGGCGUGAAAGCGUGGGGAGCAAACAGGAUUAGAUACCCCAGUAGUC